GAAAGGGUCGAAGAACUGCUAACUCAUAAACCUGAUAUUAACCCAUCAGACCUUUC
rnacentral:tRNA from 2 species